GCAGCACCUCGGGGGGCCAACUGGGUAGGGUCACAGAAUGACUAGGACUGGGGGCGCGGGGGGUGGCUGGCUGAUCAUUUGUUUUUCCUAGGCGAGGCAGAGUGCAGGUCUGGUGUUUAUCCUGCAGGUGGAGAACAGCCAUGUUUGGUUUUGUGCACUUUUUUCCCUAUUUUUAAUGGCUAUUUGCACAAUUGCAGGAAACCCCGGGCGGUGUCGGACAAUCAUUUUUAAUGACAGUCUCUAAUAUGUUCUCAAGCCCCGUUUUUCUUACUUUGCAGAGCUGUAACUCUCCAUUAUUAUUGAUGGAAAUGGUUUUCGUCGGUUUGGGGCUAUGUGACUUCCUACCAGAGAAAGCUCCUAACCCAACGACCUCACAAUCCAAAUAACAAGCUGAGAAGACUAGAGGAGCUGAGAGACCCAGAGGAAUGUGGUAACUUUCAGACGCCCUAAUCGUCGGAGCCCUGGGUGCCUGGGACCCCUGCAACAAGCAUGUGCUGCAGAGCUGCAGGAUUGGUCGACGCUAUGCACAGCUCAUGAGGCACCUCGUGGUCUCGGACACCAUCCAAUAGUCCAGGGACAUCUACACUGAACACAUCACCGGCCACCGACAGUACCAGGAGGUGAGAGCCAGAGCAACAUCAUGUUUUGACUACGAGACAGGGACUGAGAGACUUUUUUCCGUUGGACCAUACAAACUGGAACCAUAAACUCAAUGAAUGUUAAAUCUCACCAAAUGAGGGUCAAUCCAUCCUCAUCGUCGUAUCCACUCAUUAUACUCCACACCUGAACAUAGCCAUUAUAUGAACAACAUACCCUCAUGUCCCAAUGUCUGUACUUUGACCCGUUAACCUUUUACCCCCAAUCAGGGAUAUUGCAGAUUAUGUAUUUCUUACACCACCAGACCUUAAACCGAACUUCGUACCCCUUGAUGAUCUGUACGUUAUUCCCCGAUAACCAGAAACUUCUAUGCUUAAACUCUGUACCGUUCACUUUUUUUUAAACAUCAUCUUAAUAAAAUUUUCCCUCCUUC